rnacentral:rRNA from 1 species
AUUGAACGCUGGCGGCAUGCCUUACACAUGCAAGUCGAACGGCAGCACGGGAGCUUGCUCCUGGUGGCGAGUGGCGAACGGGUGAGUAAUGCAUCGGAACGUACCCGGAAGUGGGGGAUAACGUAGCGAAAGUUACGCUAAUACCGCAUAUUCUGUGAGCAGGAAAGAGGGGGAUCGCAAGACCUCUCGCUUUCGGAGCGGCCGAUGUCGGAUUAGCUAGUUGGUGGGGUAAAGGCCGACCAAGGCGACGAUCCGUAGCGGGUCUGAGAGGAUGAUCCGCCACACUGGAACUGAGACACGGUCCAGACUCCUACGGGAGGCAGCAGUGGGGAAUUUUGGACAAUGGGGGCAACCCUGAUCCAGCCAUGCCGCGUGAGUGAAGAAGGCCUUCGGGUUGUAAAGCUCUUUCGGCUGAAAAGAAAUCGCACAGGCUAAUAUCCUGUGUGGAUGACGGUAUCAGCAUAAGAAGCACCGGCUAACUACGUGCCAGCAGCCGCCGUAAAAC